AUGCAGGGAUAUACAUGGAGUUCAAAUCAGCAUCCUUCAACAAGAUGCCAAGAUCAGCCUCCACCUCAAUACCAAGAACGACUUCCUCCUCAGUACCAAGAAUGGUCUCCACCUCAGUACCAAGAACAAUUCCCACCUAAGUACCAUGCUGUCAGGAAUGAUCAACCCAAUGCGUUCCAGGUACAGCUCAUCUCUCAACUUCAAACCACAUUACAGACAAGAUAUUCCAAUGGACAACAAGAGGCUGCAAAUCAGUGGAGCACUUGUUCAGGCAGUGCAGACUCUUCUGCUUUUCAACCAAAUUCAGAUGGAUAUAAUCGGUUGAAACGGACAAACCAGAUCAAUCCCCAAUACCCAUUUGCAGCCUCCAACACACAGCAGCACUACCCAUCUGACAACCCCAAUGCAUAUAGGUAUCAUGCCCAGUUCAUGCAAUGGCAUGAUUCCUCCCCACAGAACUACAGAAACACAGGCUGUAGUCAAGCUCAAAUGUACCAUGGCAGCUCUGUGGGUAACCGCAGGGGUUGGAGUUCCCACAUUUCCAACAAUGGCAGCUCUCGUUCCAUGAACAAUCAGCAACAACUUCAGCCUCUUAGAAUGGCUCCUCUUCUUCAUCACCAACAACAACAAGAGUUCUCUAGACAAUAUACAGGCAAAAAACAAAGAUGCUACACACAAUACUCUUCUCGGGCCCAUAACAAUGGAGUCUCCCAAAAAAAUCCUAACAAUCAAGCUCAGAGCAGAACUGAGGCCAAUCAUACCUCAUGCAACUCUAUGACACCACCUUCUGGAGCACAGAGCAAUGUUUCAUUACCUUCCAAUAAUGUGAACCAAAGUCCUGUUAACCAGAAACGGUCAGAACUGGGGUCAAAUGCAGGUCCAAAUGUAUCUGCGACCCAGUCUCAGAAUAAUCAAAAUACUGCACAUCAGUCUCAGGGCACAAGCAGUGAGACAUAUAACACUAAUCAGACUUCUCAAAUGACACAGACCAGUGAAGCCCAGCUUCAGCCCCAAUCUAUAACUGAUUUUAACUUGUCAGCUUAUGCUGACUCAAUAAUAUAUAGAUUACUGUGUUCAAAUGACAAUGGACAAGCAAAUAAGCAGCAAUCAGAUGAAAGAAUUACUCAUCAGAACACUCGUCCAGAAAAGUCGGAGGUUUGUAAAACCAAAAGGACUGACAGUCACUCAAAGGAACCUUUUUCUGAACCAAGAGAACAGUGUACAGUUGAACCACCCAGUAAAAGAAUGAAGUAUGCUGUGUUUCAGAGAGACUGUCGGAACAAAGAAACAAUAGUGUCCAAAGACAUAAGUAAUUUUGGGGUGCUAUCUGCCCAAGCUGGUACCCAUCAGACAAGUAGCAAUGAGAACAGACUUAAAGGAAUGAGCCAACACAACAUACAGUACAGUACGGAUGCAGCAGACUGUCUUGAAGUGGUCUUUGCACUACAGAAAGCUGCUCAGCAAACUCACAAGGCCAUUGCCAUCGUUCCACCUAUUUACCAGCAGAUCUCAAACGCUGCACCAAUGGCUGAUACCAGCCCAAAAAAAGCUGAUAGUCCACUGUUAAAGAUUGAUUCUGUUUGGUCACUUGUUGAAGAAUCUAACAAACAAAAAACUGUAAAUGACAAGCUGUCUGAAUCCUCCUCACAAAUGGCUCAACAGAACAACAAAAGCCUUGAAAAUGCAACUGCAAACAACAUGGCAGACCCAGAUACAUGCUCUGCUAGCCCAGUUGAAUGUCAAAAUGAUGUGCAGCAAAGUGACUGUGAUUCAGAUGGUCCUUCAUUUGACGUGUCCAGUGUGCCAGUGAUUGAGUACACACUGGAGAAACUGAUGGAGUUAGUGAAGUCUAUAGAGAUGAAAGAGUUAUCGGCCGGAUAUCCUGAGAAAUCUCAGAGCAUUUUAGAAAGGAUCUUAAAACUCUACUGGAAUGGGAAAGCUUCCAAUAUGUUGGAGCCUUUGAAAUCAUUAAGAGAGGCACUGCAAUUAUCCAUAGAAUAUGCAAAGGAUUAUGGGUCUGUGGUAUUUAAAAGCAUCGAAACUGAAAACCUGAAGAAGCUAGCUCAUUGCAACAUUCUCAAACAUGAGACAUAUUCAUGGUCAGAGGAGUUCAGAUCUUCUUGGUUAAAUGUUGAUGGACAGCCAGCUGAUAUUGAAAAGGUGCUUUCAGAACCACUGUUGGAUGACAUAACUGUGUUCAAGGCAACAUCACAGUCCUUUUCAGAUAACACUGUUGUCACUUCAGCCAGAUUAGGUGUGAAUUCCCUCACAGACAUGACUGAGGUUUCAUCCAAGGAGAAAAGUGUAAAUCCAGACACUUGCAGUCCAACAGAUCUUUUCAUGCAAAUGGCAGGAAAUGACAGGGGGGAAGUGGCUGCGGAAAACAAUGGGCAUUCAUAUGUAGUGCUCAGAAAAGAAAGUGAGAAAGAGACAUUCAAGAAGCAAGAGGACAUCAAUCAAAACCACAUUUUUAACAUAGAGCCUUCAGACAUCACACCUUUAGCUGAAAGGUCUACAGAGAGACUUACAGACCUCAGCAAUGCAAAAGAAGUAUUCAGACAAGAUCACGAGCAAACACGUGAUGAUAAUGUAUCAGAUUCACUUUCUCUGAGUCCUGGAGACAGUGUUUCAGAUGGUGUGAAAAACUCUGUUGUGUCUUUCUCUACUGAGACUCAUUGUAGCUCCAUGGAAACAUGGCAGGUAGAAGAUAUUUCUGAUGAUGAAAAUACAGGCAGUAAAGAGGCUCUGAAUAACUCCUCGGACACCUGGCUUGUAGAAGAUAUUUCUGAUGAUGAAAAUACAGGCAACAAGGAGGCUCUUAACACCUCAGACACCUGGCUUGUAGAAGAUAUUUCUGAUGAUGAAAAUUCUGGAAAUAAGGAUGUUCUUCUUAAUUCCUCAAACACCUGGCAAGUGGAAAACAUCUCUGAUGAUGAGAAUCCAGGCAAUAUGGACACUCCUAGUAACUCCGCAGACAUAUGUGCGGUGGAAAAUGAAUCUACUGAUGAAAAUUCAAGUGCUGAUUCCUUGUUUAUGGGAAUCACGGUGCUAUCAUCGGAAGAUGCUAAAACAUUUUUCCAAUAUAUUGAAAAGGAUCCUGGAUGUACCAUCAAAACCAAAUCCCAAUCCAAAUUGGAGAGCCCAGAUCUUGUAGCAUGCUUUGAUGCACCCAGUCAACUUAACCAGGAGUACAACAAAGCACAUACUUGCUCUCGCUGUGGUACCCAAAUUGUGAAAUCUAAUUCCACUAAUGUGACAAAGACGGACAGUGAUGCUGAUCUUUUCUGCCUCCAGUGUUGGGAACAGGCACCAUUGUUUGAGCUAGAAGAGGAGCCAUGCUCUCCAAUGACAGAUGAGGUCAAUCUGGGCUAUGCUGCUAAAUCAAAUGAACUGGGUCAAAAUGAUAGUCUGCCAUGUCUUAAGUUGGAAGUCAAUGAGCCAAAUGUGGCUUCAACAAAGGAAUGCAUUGCAUAUGAAGGACUGAAAGGACAAAAAAAUUGUUGUCUUUUAACAUCAGACCCGGGGGAAAAUUGUAGUCCACCAUGUCUUAAAAUAGAAGUCAAGGAGCUAACUGUUGCACCAAAUGAUGAAUGCAUUGCGAAUGAAGGACUGGCAGGACAAAAGAGUGUGUUCUUGGUAAAAUCAGAACAGGGACACAAUUGUAGUCUGCCAUCUCUUGAACUGAAAGUCAAGAAGCCAAAUGUUGCUCCACUGGAGGCAUGCAUAGCAGAGGAAGGACUGAUGGGACAAAAAAGAGGCAGUAUGGUAAAAUCAGAACUGGUAGAAAGCUGUUGUCCACCAUCUCUUGAACUAGAAAUCAAGGAGCCAACAGUUGCUUCAACAACGGAAUGCAUUGCAGAUGAAGGACAAAAAAGUGACAGUAUAAUACAAUCAGAACUGAGACCAAAUUGUAGUCUACCAUCUCUUGAACUAGAAGUCAAGGAGCCAACUGUUACUUCAGCAGAGGACUGCAUUGCAGAUAAAGGACUGACGAGACAAAAAAUUGACAGUAUGGUAAAAUCGGUGACUGAGACAAUGUCUGAAAAUCAGGGGUCAGCUGAACGGGAGCUAACCAAGAUUCAACCAAAUAAGCAAAAAAAUGAGAAAAUUAGAGUACCCAAGCCCCAAUCUUUCACGCAGUGCAGAAAAUCAUUUUCAAAGAAAACUGCAUUUUUCAAGCAUAAGCUAAAAUCUGGUAGCACUAGUACUGGUUCUGAUGAUUCUGUGCUUUUCGCUCCAGAUAUUAUAGUUAAAAUGAACUGGCCACAAAAGAAAAAUCAACCUCGUGAUUCUGCAAACAAACGCUGUAGUGGUGAGAGUCAGAACUGCAGUAAGGUGAAAAAAUGUAAAGAACAUGGGCAAGAAAGACGAGAUAAUCAUGACAGAACCUCAACAAAACAUAGAGAAAACCUACAGAAAGUGACAGAGAAAGUGUCUGGUCAAUCAAGUGACACACCACCCCACGGAUCAGAAAAGAAGCUGGAGCUGCAUGGUAUUCUGUCAGUGAAUAAAAUGAAAAGAACUGAACCAAAAAAAGUGAGAUUUGAUUUAUAUGGGUCCAAAACAGAAAAACAGUACUAUCCCCGAGAGCGGCAUUUUACUGCCCCUGCUACCUUAACAGUCUCUGAUUGCAAAGACUAUACCGAUGUGCUUUCUGCUAAACAAAAAGUUCACAACCAAUGGAGUAGCACCUUUAUACCUAAAACAAAGAAGGCUUGUCCUCCCAGGUCACCACAGGAGAGUGGACCACAGAAGAAAAAAACACAGAAACCUCAGGAUCUCUUAAAGUCAAAUAUGAGUGCAUUAAGAAACCAUUUGACUCACAGAGCCAAGCUAUUAUCCAGUAGUGACAUAGAGACAAGUCACAUAAGAAAACCAUAUUUUCAUCAAAAGCUUACGAAAACACUAAGCAGCUAA
rnacentral:lncRNA from 1 species